rnacentral:rRNA from 1 species
AUUGAACGCUGGCGGCAGGCCUAACACAUGCAAGUCGAGCGGAUAAAGGGAGCUUGCUCCUGGAUUCAGCGGCGGACGGGUGAGUAAUGCCUAGGAAUCUGCCUGGUAGUGGGGGAUAACGUCCGGAAACGGGCGCUAAUACCGCAUACGUCCUGAGGGAGAAAGUGGGGGAUCUUCGGACCUCACGCUAUCAGAUGAGCCUAGGUCGGAUUAGCUAGUUGGUGGGGUAAAGGCCUACCAAGGCGACGAUCCGUAACUGGUCUGAGAGGAUGAUCAGUCACACUGGAACUGAGACACGGUCCAGACUCCUACGGGAGGCAGCAGUGGGGAAUAUUGGACAAUGGGCGAAAGCCUGAUGCAGCCAUGCCGCGUGUGUGAAGAAGGUCUUCGGAUUGUAAAGCACUUUAAGUUGGGAGGAAGGGCAGUAAGUUAAUACCUUGCUGUUUUGACGUUACCAACAGAAUAAGCACCGGCUAACUUCGUG